CAGCGCAUGCACCUAACGAGUAGUGCUCAUUGGACGGAGGGGUAGGGGGUGGGGGACUAGAAGUGGGAGCCGCGGUGUGUGGAGGAGCUGCUGCCGGUGUCAUGGCGGAGCUGAGUGAGGAGGCGCUGCUGUCAGUAUUACCGACGAUCCGGGUCCCCAAGGCUGGAGACCGGGUCCACAAAGACGAAUGCGCCUUCUCCUUCGACACACCGGAGUCUGAGGGUGGCCUCUACAUCUGCAUGAACACAUUCCUGGGCUUCAGCAAACAGUAUGUGGAGAGACACUUCAACAAGACAGGCCAGCGAGUCUACCUACACCUCCGGCGGACCCGGCGCCCGAAAGAGGAAGACACGACCGCAGGCACUGGAGACCCGCCCCGGAAGAAGCCCACCCGGCUGGCUAUCGGGAUCGAAGGCGGGUUUGACCUCAGCGAGAAGAAGUUUGACUAUGAUGAGGAUGUAAAAAUCGUCAUUUUGCCAGAUUACCUGGAGAUCGCCCGGGACGGGCUGGGGGGACUGCCUGACAUCGUCAGAGAUCGGGUGACCAGUGCAGUGGAGGCCCUGCUGUCGGCUGACUCGGCCUCCCGCAAGCAGGAGGUGCAGGCCUGGGAUGGGGAGGUACGGCAGGUGUCUAGGCAUGCCUUCAACCUCAAGCAGCUGGACAACCCUGCUCGAAUCCCUCCCUGUGGCUGGAAGUGUUCCAAGUGUGACAUGCGGGAGAACCUGUGGCUCAACCUGACAGACGGCUCCAUCCUCUGUGGCCGGCGCUACUUCGAUGGCAGCGGGGGCAACAACCACGCAGUGGAGCACUUCAAGGAGACGGGCUACCCAUUAGCCGUCAAGCUGGGCACCAUCACACCUGACGGCGCUGACGUGUAUUCAUAUGACGAGGAUGACAUGGUCCUGGACCCCAACCUGGCCGAGCACCUGUCCCACUUCGGUAUCGACAUGCUGAAGAUGCAGAAGACGGACAAGACGAUGACGGAGCUGGAGAUAGACAUGAACCAGCGCAUCGGCGAGUGGGAGCUGAUCCAGGAGUCAGGGGUGCCGCUCAAGCCCCUGUUCGGGCCUGGCUACACGGGCAUCCGCAACCUGGGCAACAGCUGCUACCUCAACUCCGUGGUCCAGGUGCUCUUCAGCAUCCCCGACUUCCAGAGGAAGUAUGUGGAUAAGCUGGAAAAGAUCUUCCAGAAUGCUCCGACGGACCCUACCCAGGACUUCAGCACCCAGGUGGCCAAGCUGGGCCAUGGCCUUCUCUCGGGAGAGUAUUCCAAGCCAGCGCCAGAGUCGGGCGACGGCGAGCAGGUGCCAGAGCAAAAGGAAGUCCAAGAUGGCAUUGCCCCUCGGAUGUUCAAGGCCCUCAUCAGCAAGGGUCACCCCGAGUUCUCCACCAACCGGCAGCAGGAUGCCCAAGAGUUCUUCCUUCACCUUAUCAACAUGGUGGAGAGGAAUUGCCGGAGCUCUGAAAAUCCCAACGAGGUGUUCCGCUUCCUGGUGGAGGAGAAGAUCAAGUGCCUGGCCACAGAGAAGGUCAAGUACACCCAGCGCGUGGACUAUAUCAUGCAGCUGCCUGUGCCCAUGGACGCGGCCCUGAACAAAGAGGAGCUCCUGGAGUAUGAAGAGAAGAAGCGGCAAGCCGAGGAGGAGAAGCUGCCACUGCCAGAACUGGUUCGGGCACAGGUGCCCUUCAGCUCCUGCCUGGAGGCCUAUGGGGCCCCUGAGCAGGUGGAUGACUUCUGGAGCACUGCCCUGCAGGCCAAGUCCGUGGCCGUCAAGACCACACGAUUUGCCUCAUUCCCCGACUACCUGGUCAUCCAGAUCAAGAAGUUCACCUUCGGCUUAGACUGGGUGCCCAAGAAACUGGAUGUGUCCAUCGAGAUGCCCGAGGAGCUAGACAUCUCCCAGCUGAGGGGCACAGGGCUGCAGCCUGGAGAGGAGGAGCUGCCCGACAUUGCCCCACCCCUGGUCACUCCGGAUGAGCCCAAAGGUAGCCUUGGUUUCUAUGGCAACGAAGACGAAGACUCCUUCUGCUCCCCUCACUUCUCCUCUCCAACAUCGCCCAUGUUGGAUGAAUCGGUUAUCAUCCAGCUGGUGGAGAUGGGCUUCCCGAUGGACGCCUGCCGCAAAGCCGUCUACUACACGGGCAACAGCGGGGCCGAGGCCGCCAUGAACUGGGUCAUGUCGCACAUGGACGAUCCAGAUUUCGCGAACCCUCUCAUCCUGCCUGGCUCCAGCGGGCCCGGCUCCACAAGCGCAGCAGCUGACCCCCCACCAGAGGACUGCGUGACCACCAUUGUCUCCAUGGGCUUCUCCCGGGACCAGGCCCUGAAAGCUCUGCGGGCCACGAACAAUAGUUUAGAACGGGCUGUGGACUGGAUCUUCAGUCACAUUGAUGACCUGGACGCAGAGGCUGCCAUGGACAUCUCGGAGGGCCGCUCCGCUGCCGACUCCAUCUCCGAGUCCAUACCAGUGGGACCUAAAGUCCGGGAUGGUCCUGGAAGUGAGUGUCCCCUGAAACCAGAACAGGCCUGGUGGGAUCUAGCCCGUUGGCUCCACCAGGUCUGCUUCCCUGGGGUGGUGGGAGGAGGCGGACAGGGGGCAGAAGCUUCUUUCCACCAGCUCGACUCCUGGAGGUGGGUUCCUAGGACGAGAGAGAGCCUCUGGGCCCAGUGCAUGCCUCCAGUUCCCUGAAAUCCCGUCCUGUGUGUGAGCUGUGGGGUCCAGCCGCCCUCCCUCUCUGCCCUCUCUCCCCCCCUUCCCUAGAGUAUCAGCUCUUCGCCUUCAUUAGUCACAUGGGCACGUCAACCAUGUGUGGUCACUAUGUCUGCCACAUCAAGAAGGAAGGCAGAUGGGUGAUCUACAACGACCAGAAAGUGUGUGCCUCUGAGAAGCCGCCCAAGGACCUGGGCUACAUCUACUUCUACCAGAGAGUGGCCAGCUAAGAGCCCACCCUGAGCCCUUAACCACUGAGGGCAGGGGACAGACCACCCGGCAUGAGGGAUGGAUGUCAGCCCCCCUGCUCCCGUACCCUUUUCCUUUUCGUGUCCCCAGCAGCAGGGAAGAAGCUAGAGGCUAUGAGAGAAUGGCCAAGCGAAGUGGGGGGGGCACUCUGGAGACUUUGGGGAUGGAGCAGGAAGGGGAACGGGAGGGGCCGGCUGCCUGUCUGUGAGGAGACUGUUGCUUUCCUGCCCUUGACCCCACAGGGCUCUGCUUCUCUGUGAUCCUGCUGGCCCAGCGUGGAGCGGGCUCGUUUGUUUGUGUGGCGUGGGUAUAGCUUUGUGCAGCCUCUUCCACAGGAGGGGGCUUCUGUGCCUCCCCUCCCCCGUUGUGUGUGCUCCCCGUGUGGUUGGGCAAGGAGGGAUCUGAGGGAAAUGGGGACCCCCCUCGCCCUCCUGCCUCAGUCUUUUCCCCACCCUGUCUCUCCCCUGUCCUUCUGGAAAAUGCCAAAAUACAGGAUGUGAAUAAAAGUACAGUGGCUCA